UACAGAGGUCCCAAGCGUUGUUCGGAUUCACUGGGCGUAAAGGGUGCGUAGGUGGCCGGGUAAGUCUGACGUGAAAUCUCCGAGCCUAACUCGGAAACUGCAUCGGAUACUAUCCGGCUUGAGGGUUGGAGGGGGGACUGGAAUACUUGGUGUAGCAGUGAAAUGCGUAGAUAUCAAGUGGAACACCAGUGGCGAAGGCGAGUCCCUGGACAACUCCUGACACUGAGGCACGAAGGCCAGGGGAGCAAACGGG
rnacentral:rRNA from 1 species